AAACACAAAAAACACCAUUCUUAUUGGAGUGGGUCUUUAAACUCAGAACGGGUUGAUUUAGAAUUUUCUGUCACAAGAGAGGCCCAUGUGGUAACAUCCAUUCUCUGUAAAUUGCUUUUAAGUGAGCAACUUAGGCUUGUCUAAUGCAAAUUUUCUCAUGGCAAAGAGCUGUAGAGUGGUGCUCAAACAGUGUGCAUCGAAAGCUUCAAUCACAAAGCGUAAUUUAACAGCAGGGGGCAACAAACUAAUCUUGCAGGAGAUCUUAUACCACCAAUUUAAAAUCAAUAAAGACACAUUAGGUUUUUUAGAACCAAUACCCGAGCUUUGCUGUAAAUAAGAGCUCGGUUUCGAGGCACACACAGUUGUCGCCUGCCUGACUCUGGGGGAUCAUUUCAAAACCACUGAUGGAUUCGGAGCCAAUCCCAUUGCUACAUUUCACCAAACGUUUUGACACUAAUAUACACAAUUUUUUCAAAUUAUUUUGUUGUUGGGCUGCAAGCAAUUAGGUAUAAUUAUGCCAGUGGGUAAUUUCUAGUCACGUAUUGAUGAAGUGACUUAAGAAAAAAAUCAUUAGCUGGAUGGUUUUAAAUAGUUCAAAGGAAGUUAAGUGGCAUAUUUUCAAGAAAAAAGGUCAUUUGUAAUCCUGUUAUCCUCUCCUCCUAAAUGAAACGCUGUGUUGUGGUAUUCUAUGAUUUUCUGUCUGUGACCAUUGCAGACUUAGUUAAUGCCUUCAGUUGUAUUUUUUUAAAACUCUCCCUCGCUCUGCAAAUUAAUUUAUGGUCUAAUUACAAGACAAGCCUCCAGAUAUGAAAGAACACAAAUCAUUGGUCCUUACUAAAUGGCAGAAACAUGGUGCAGGAUAAUUGAAAAUGUAGAGGUGGAUCAAUAUUUAGAUGCCCAAGGUUACGUGAAGUGUGACACCAAAAUUAACAUGGAAAUAUGAUGCAUUACAUCUGUGGGCAAAUUGGUUUAUGCGAGGGUGAAAGCGAGCGCUCUGAUGUCUGGCCGCACCCACGCAGUCCAAAUGUUGCAGACGUGUAGUGCUGCAGUUGCACGUGCUCUCUCUCUCAUGCACUAAUGUUGCACCGCUCCUGAAGUCUCUUUUCGUGACACAAUGUAGCAGGAAAACUCAAAUCCCCACUGUGUCCCGCCGCAUCAGUGGCCCAACCCCACACCUUUCUCGCAUUUACCUCUGGCCUGUUAAAAAAUGAUAUCAGCUCGUGGAGGGCAAGCAUUAGCAUUUGCAUUUUAUUGGAAGAACAGAGAUUUAGAGCAGAGGAUAUAUCAGCUCUGAGCAGACAGAAUUAGUUAACAAUGCAUUACCUGCCUUUUAUGGCAGCUAUAACUCUUCCCCCCCUGGUGGGGAGAGGAGAUGAAGGAAGGAGUGUGGAGGUGGUGGGGGGUAUCGAAGGGGAAACACAGCCAGCAGAAGGUUGGUGGUGGGAGCUGCAGCACAUAAGUGAGGGGUGGGGGGGUGUUAGAACCCAGAAGGUUUGUCUGUGGAGCUUUACUGCUCAUUUAGUGUGAUAGCUGCACAAAUUAGAGCUUCACGCUGCAAUCACCUUCACACAGAUCAGUGCUCUGUGUUGGGAGAUGACAGGCCGGCCGUCACUGCAGACAUUUUGAUCUGAUUGCAACAAGAGAGAAGAGAUGCAGCUGUGCUCACAGCAAAGAAUGCAUCUCCUGAUUUCACCUCUCUUUGAUACUUCCAAUAAGACUGUAAAAACGUUUGCAUAACCCGAAACACAUAUUUGUUGUUUUUGUGGUCUUCUUGAGCAAGCUGUAUUUUUUCAUAGACCCUCUGCGGCAGUCCCUUUCUCACCCAAGCUGCACAGUGGCUCCCCCAACGCUCAUUAGAUGUAAUGUGCUGCACGAAGACCCACCUCUGCUGUGGGUAAUACCCUGAGGAACUCAUUUGUACAAGAAAAUACAGGUAAGAGGAAUUUCCCUUUUUUUCCCAAGUUUUGAUUGUUGCAAAUAAACAAAUACAGCAACACAUAAUCACCGUUGAGACAACAAUCUCCAACACACGUGUCUAAGAAAAUACCCACUGCGAUGCAAUGAAUCGACUGUUUCCUGAAAAGUCUACACCUCUCAAGUAAAAGUACUACCAACUGCUCCCAGAUGAUUCCUCCCAGAUGACAUACCAGGGCUGACUUUACAUCUGUGAUUGCCACACAUGGCUUUUGGCAGAGCUCCCGUGAGCAGUGGUUUCCCAUCCAAACCCACUGGCCUGUAUUUGUCGAUGGACAGCUCCAGGCUGGAUGAAACAGCUCGCCGCUCCCCUCCUCUCACCCAGCUUAAUGGUCCCAGGGGCUGGAUAUUUACUACUGACCUUUGCAUUCCAUUUGGAGUGUAAAAGCUCUUUUGUGAGGAAAAUUCCAUCAUUUUCAACGUAACCCGGCAGCACUUUGCAGAUGUGUGUGUGUGUGUGUCAUGCAGGGAGCUGGUAAAAGGUACCACCAAAGCAAAAAAAAAAAAAAA